rnacentral:tRNA from 1 species
GGCCGGUUAGCUCAGCUAGUUAGAGCGUGGUGCUAAUAACGCCAAGGUCGCGGGUUCGAUCCCCGUAUUGGCCA